AGCGGCGAACGGGUGAGUAACACGUGGGUGAUCUGCCUUGCACUUCGGGAUAAGCCUGGGAAACUGGGUCUAAUACCGGAUAUGACCACGGAAUGCAUGUUCUGUGGUGGAAAGAUUUAUCGGUGCGAGAUGGGCCCGCGGCCUAUCAGCUUGUUGGUGAGGUAACGGCCCACCAAGGCGACGACGGGUAGCCGACCUGAGAGGGUGACCGGCCACACUGGGACUGAGACACGGCCCAGACUCCUACGGGAGGCAGCAGUGGGGAAUAUUGCACAAUGGGCGAAAGCCUGAUGCAGCGACGCCGCGUGCGGGAUGACGGCCUUCGGGUUGUAAACCGCUUUUGACAGGGACGAAGCGCAAGUGACUGUACCUGUAGAAUAAGGACCGGCCAACUACGUGCCAGCAGCCGCGGUAAUACGUAGGGUCCGAGCGUUGUCCGGAAUUACUGGGCGUAAAGAGCUUGUAGGCGGUUCGUCGCGUCGUUUGUGAAAACUUGGGGCUCAACCUUAAGCUUGCAGGCGAUACGGGCGGACUAGAGUACUUCAGGGGAGACUGGAAUUCCUGGUGUAGCGGUGAAAUGCGCAGAUAUCAGGAGGAACACCGGUGGCGAAGGCGGGUCUCUGGGAAGUAACUGACGCUGAGAAGCGAAAGCAUGGGUAGCAAACAGGAUUAGAUACCCUGGUAGUCCAUGCCGUAAACGGUGGGUACUAGGUGUGGGGCUCCUUCCACGGACUCCGUGCCGUAGCUAACGCAUUAAGUACCCCGCCUGGGGAGUACGGCCGCAAGGCUAAAACUCAAAGAAAUUGACGGGGGCCCGCACAAGCGGCGGAGCAUGUGGAUUAAUUCGAUGCAACGCGAAGAACCUUACCUGGGUUUGACAUACACCGGAAACCUGCAGAGAUGUAGGCCCCCUUGUGGUCGGUGUACAGGUGGUGCAUGGCUGUCGUCAGCUCGUGUCGUGAGAUGUUGGGUUAAGUCCCGCAACGAGCGCAACCCUUAUCUUAUGUUGCCAGCGCGUAAUGGCGGGGACUCGUGAGAGACUGCCGGGGUCAACUCGGAGGAAGGUGGGGACGACGUCAAGUCAUCAUGCCCCUUAUGUCCAGGGCUUCACACAUGCUACAAUGGCCGGUACAGAGGGCUGCGAUACCGCGAGGUGGAGCGAAUCCCUUAAAGCCGGUCUCAGUUCGGAUCGGGGUCUGCAACUCGACCCCGUGAAGUUGGAGUCGCUAGUAAUCGCAGAUCAGCAACGCUGCGGUGAAUACGUUCCCGGGCCUUGUACACACCGCCCGUCACGUCAUGAAAGUCGGUAACACC
rnacentral:rRNA from 1 species